rnacentral:misc_RNA from 1 species
GAAAUGCGAUAAGUAGUGUGAAUUGCAGAAUUCAGUGAAUCAUCGAAUCUUUGAACGCACAUUGCGCCCCUUGGUAUUCCAUGGGGCAUGCUUGUUCGAGCGUCAUUUGUACCCUCAAGCUCUGCUUGGUGUUGGGUGUUUGUCCCGUCUCCGCGCGUGGACUCGCCCCAAAGUGAUUGGCAGCCGGCGUACUGGUCCCGGAGCGCAGCACAUGUCGCGCAAACGAGUGCCUUGGUACGGCGGCGUCCAUAAGCCCCUCUCUCACGCUCUUGACCUCGGAUCAGGUAGGGAUACCCGCUGAACUUAAGC